rnacentral:rRNA from 1 species
GAUGAACGCUGGCGGCGUGCUUAACACAUGCAAGUCGAACGAGAAGUGAAGACGGAAACCUUCGGGCGGAAGGCUUUAUUUCGAGUGGCGGACGGGGGAGUAACGCGUGGGUAACCUGCCUCAUACAGGGGGAUAACAGUUGGAAACGACUGUUAAUACCGCAUAAGACCACAGCACCGCAUGGUGCGGGGGUAACAACUCCGGUGGUAUGAGAUGGACCCGCGUUCGAUUAGCCAGUUGGCGGGGUAACGGCCCACCAAAGCGACGAUCGAUAGCCGAUCUGAGAGGAUGACCGGCCACACUGGGAGUGAGACACGGCCCAAACUCCUACGGGAGGCAGCAGUGGGGAAUAUUGCAAAAUGGGGGAAACCCUGAUGCAGCGACGCCGCGUGAGUGAAGAAGUAUGUCGGUAUGUAAAGCUCUAUCAGCAGGGAAGAAAAUGACGGUACCUGAGUAAGAAGCCCCGGCUAACUACGUG